rnacentral:rRNA from 1 species
UUUGUAGGUGGCUUGUUAAGUCAGACGUGAAAUCCCUCAGCUUAACUGGGGAACUGCGUCUGAUACUGAUGAGCUUGAGUGCAGGAGAGGAACGCGGAAUUCCAGGUGUAGCGGUGAAAUGCGUAGAUAUCUGGAGGAACACCGGUGGCGAAGGCGGCGUUCUGGACUGCAACUGACACUGAGAAACGAAAGCCAGGGAGCAAACG